GAUGAACGCUGGCGGCGUGCUUAACACAUGCAAGUCGAACGAAGCACCUUGAUUUGAUUCUUCGGAUGAAGAUCUUGGUGACUGAGUGGCGGACGGGUGAGUAACGCGUGGGUAACCUGCCUCAUACAGGGGGAUAACAGUUAGAAAUGACUGCUAAUACCGCAUACGACCACAGCACCGCAUGGUGCAGGGGUAAAAACUCCGGUGGUAUGAGAUGGACCCGCGUCUGAUUAGGUAGUUGGUGGGGUAACGGCCUACCAAGCCGACGAUCAGUAGCCGACCUGAGAGGGUGACCGGCCACAUUGGGACUGAGACACGGCCCAAACUCCUACGGGAGGCAGCAGUGGGGAAUAUUGUACAAUGGGGGAAACCCUGAUGCAGCGACGCCGCGUGAGCGAUGAAGUAUUUCGGUAUGUAAAGCUCUAUCAGCAGGGAAGAAAAUGACGGUACCUGACUAAGAAGCACCGGCUAAAUACGUG
rnacentral:rRNA from 1 species